UCUAGUUUAACAUAUAUAAUGUGAGGGGUUGUAAACUCUUUUAAGGCUAUGGCCAACUAGGA
rnacentral:tRNA from 1 species